UCCUUGCCUCUCUUCCCGAGGGUAUUCUUGUUCUCGUGGUGGUGUCUUAGAGAGACUCUGGUUUGGUGGUAGUGUGCCUCCUUGAUGCUUUGUAAUUUCAUUUGCCUGUCUGUUUUUCUAUUUUACCUUAGAGAUUGUUAGGUUAUAGUGGAGUGUGCUUCUGGUACCUCUUUAAUUUCCUGAACUUUCUCUUAUACUAUUUUCGUUUUUAUAUCUAUAUAUACUAAUAUAUUUGUCAUUAAAAAACAAUGAGUAUAAAAUUCUUUAAAAAAAGAAAAUGAUUAUGAAGUUUUGUUAUCUUAUGCUUCACUAAGUGUGUCUAAAGGACAAACUCAAUACAUUGGUCAACCGAAGCAACAUUAAUUAGCUAAGUGUUCUAAAGGGGCAAAUACAACUUAUUGAUCAAGGCAAGUGCUAAAAAUAAUUAAUUGUUUUUAACAUUUUAGGAGAUUUAUACACAUUAAGUAUGUUUAAGCGACAAACACAACACAUUGAUUUGCUUAUUUAACCCUAAAAAAUAAUGAAUUUUAACUAUUAGAAUUUUUUUAUGUUACCCCUUCAUUAUGUUUAA
rnacentral:lncRNA from 1 species